rnacentral:rRNA from 1 species
ACUCCUACGGGAGGCAGCAGUGGGGAAUUUUGGACAAUGGGGGCAACCCUGAUCCAGCCAUGCCGCGUGAGUGAAGAAGGCCUUCGGGUUGUAAAGCUCUUUCAGACGGAAAGAAACGGUUACGGCCAAUACCCGUGACUAAUGACGGUACCGUCAGAAGAAGCACCGGCUAACUACGUGCCAGCAGCCGCGGUAAUACGUAGGGUGCGAGCGUUAAUCGGAAUUACUGGGCGUAAAGCGUGCGCAGGCGGUUUUGUAAGACAGAUGUGAAAUCCCCGGGCUUAACCUGGGAACUGCAUUUGUGACUGCAAGACUAGAGUACGGCAGAGGGGGGUAGAAUUCCACGUGUAGCAGUGAAAUGCGUAGAUAUGUGGAGGAAUACCGAUGGCGAAGGCAGCCCCCUGGGUCGAUACUGACGCUCAUGCACGAAAGCGUGGGGAGCAGACAGGAUUAGAUACCCUGGUAGUCCACGCCCUAAACGAUGUCAACUAGGUGUUGGGGAAGGAGACUUCUUUAGUACCGCAGCUAACACGAUAAGUUGACCGCCUGGGGAGUACGGUCGCAAGAUUAAAACUCAAAUGAAUUGACGG